rnacentral:rRNA from 1 species
CGGGUGAGUAACACGUGAGUAACCUGCCCUUCACUCUGGGAUAACGUCGGGAAACCGGUGCUAAUACUGGAUAUGACCUACUCGGGCAUCCGAUGUGGGUGGAAAGAUUUAUUGGUGGGGGAUGGACUCGCGGCCUAUCAGCUUGUUGGUGAGGUAAUGGCUUACCAAGGCGACGACGGGUAGCCGGCCUGAGAGGGCGAUCGGCCACACUGGGACUGAGACACGGUCCAG